rnacentral:tRNA from 2 species
GGGCGGUUAGCUCAGCUGGUUCAGAGCAUCUGCCUUACAAGCAGAGGGUCGGGGGUUCAAAUCCCUCACCGCCCA